rnacentral:rRNA from 1 species
UACGUAGGGUCCGAGCGUUGUCCGGAAUUACUGGGCGUAAAGAGCUCGUAGGUGGUUUGUCGCGUUGUUCGUGAAAACUCACAGCUCAACUGUGGGCGUGCGGGCGAUACGGGCAGACUAGAGUACUGCAGGGGAGACUGGAAUUCCUGGUGUAGCGGUGGAAUGCGCAGAUAUCGGGAAGAACACCCGUGGCGAAGGCGGCACUCUGGGACGGUACUGACGCUGAGACGCGAAAGCGUGGGGAGCGAACAGG